UACAGAGGGUGCGAGCGUUAUUCGGAAUUACUGGGCGUAAAGCGCACGUAGUCGGCUUUGCAAGUCUGGUGUGAAAUCCCCGGGCUCAACCUGGGAACUGCAUCCGAGACUGCAUUGCUAGAGUAUGGGAGAGGGAAGCGGAAUUUCUGGUGUAGCAGUGAAAUGCGUAGAUAUCAGAAGGAACAUCAGUGGCGAAGGCGACUUCCUGGACCAAUACUGACGAUCAGGUGCGAAAGCGUGGGGAGCAAACAGG
rnacentral:rRNA from 1 species